AGUGAACGCUGGCGGUAGGUCUAACACAUGCAAGUCGAACGGCAGCACAGUAAGAGCUUGCUCUUACGGGUGGCGAGUGGCGGACGAGUGAGGAAUACAUCGGAAUCUACUUUUUCGUGGGGGAUAACGUAGGGAAACUUACGCUAAUACCGCAUACGACCUACGGGUGAAAGCAGGGGAUCUUCGGACCUUGCGCGAUUGAAUGAGCCGAUGUCGGAUUAGCUAGUUGGCGGGGUAAAGGCCCACCAAGGCGACGAUCCGUAGCUGGUCUGAGAGGAUGAUCAGCCACACUGGAACUGAGACACGGUCCAGACUCCUACGGGAGGCAGCAGUGGGGAAUAUUGGACAAUGGGCGAAAGCCUGAUCCAGCCAUACCGCGUGGGUGAAGAAGGCCUUCGGGUUGUAAAGCCCUUUUGUUGGGAAAGAAAAGCAGCAGGUUAAUACCCCGCUGUUCUGACGGUACCCAAAGAAUAAGCACCGGCUAACUUCGUG
rnacentral:rRNA from 1 species